GAAAAAUGUGGUUACUAUAGCAACUGCCACAUUACACUUAUGCAGUCUUUGGAAUAGAUUAAAUUGCUGAAAACCUCAAGGUUUUGUUUGACUCUGUUGAGAACUGCAGCUAAAUGUACUGAAGUUACUUAAUCAAAGUCAUUGGUGCCUCUGGGUUUACACUGAAAAUGAUGCAAGAAGAGUCUAUCAAUACGGAAAUCCUGAAUCAUCCUCUUCAACACAUCACUGCAUUUGCACAAGGACGCUGGCUGGACCCAACAGGCUGGUGGGCUGAAACACUUUUGGCUGCAGAGAAGGGAUUAAACUUGGACUCCAUUAAGUGACUGGAAUUCAGUGAAAGGAGUAAAUCUUGGCUUUCUGACUUUUCAACCAGACAUCCAUACCCUGCUGCUGCAGAACUGGCAAGU